AACACUGUUAACCUGCGGUACCUGCGGAAGGAUCAUUAACCUUUCAAAAAACAGGGUGCGUCGCGGCCCCCCUCCGGGGGCGGUUUGGGGUCCUCCCCUUCACGCGCGCACGACUGCAUCCUUACUUUACGAGCACCUUCUGUUCUCCCUCGGCGGGGCAACCUGCCGUUGGAACCGAAUAAACCCUUUUUUGCAUCCAGCAUUACCCGUUCCGAAACAAACAAUCGUUACAACUUUCAA
rnacentral:misc_RNA from 1 species